AUCACGCCGACGUUAUAGCGAUCAUAAUCAUGCCCAAUUUCGGUCAAGCCGGCGUCACCCUGAGGGGGGAUAAAGCGACAGUUGCCUAAGGCUCGGACGGUCGGGCUCCGGAUUCCUCAGCCCCCCAGCCCCCUGGAGUUCGCUCCGUCCGAGCCGAUGGCACGAGUGGUUUGUUCGUUCCGCGUACGGUUCAAUCCCCAAGACUUUCACGGGCCGGUUUU
rnacentral:sRNA from 1 species